AAUUCCCUCGACGAUCCCUUCCCAGUAUAAUGGCGGCAUAUGCAGGCGAUUGCUGCAUCCGGAGCUCCUUCUUCGAACGACCCAUUUUAUAUGGAUUGACCUUCACUGAACUCCUUUCCUCGGUGGAGUCCGGAUCUUAGGGUAGUGGUGGAAUUGAAGGGCAAAAUAUAGCAGAAUUAAGCAUGAGUAUACUCAUGGAUAUUGUGGAUGAGGAAUGGAUGAGAGACACUCUGCCUAAUGAUGAUCAGGAGACUCGACAAGCUUAUGAAGAUUCUUGGCAUGAUCUUGCUUUAAACACCCAGUGAAGUAUGCCAAGAGGCGGGUUGAUCCUUGAAACGUUGUUUGGGUGCUGGAUUUUCGUUAUCUUAACAACACAACUAUCUCUUCAUUUUCAACAUGUACACGCUAGUGUUAUGACAGAGUACUCGAGUGGCGGGGCGGCUGAGGAUAAGGUCUACCCAAGAGUGGAGGAGUAAGGGUUUAGAAUCCCAAUAAGAAAGGAAGGUCUUUGUCGGGUUGUGAGUCUGGCAAGCCACCAGCUUGUUCUACACCGUCUUAUGUGUUGGAGGCUAGUACUUAAAUCCAUUCAUUUGCCUCGUAACACCCCGGAAGAAUGAUUUGCUCACACAUAUGCCCAUGAGAUGGAAACGGCACUUGAAUUUACAGCUGAAAGCUUGCUAUGCUCGUGCCGGUGUGAUGAGCAGCAGAAUCAUCAGUUUGCACUGGAAGUCUUGGAUUCAAAAGGUGAAUUGACACCUAGACAAUGGCGAUGGCGGCACAGAAGUUGUUAAUGUAUUCGUGACCAACCCUUGUGCAAUUUUCCUACCGAUGAUGCAAAACCAGUUGCAAUUUAAGCAUUUAACCACCUCAAUUAUAGAAAUUAUUUGUCGAAUAUUUGUUACUCAUGCGUACAUUACAGCCCUACGUAAAUUUUUAUUUAU